UGCUGCUAUUGCUACUAUUUCUACUUUCUCUACUACUUUGACUUAUACUUCUUUUAUUCUCAAACUACUUCUACUGCUUACAUGACUACUAGUAUCACUACUUGACUUCAUAUCAUACUACUUCUAGUACUAGUACUACCACUUAAACUAAUGCCACUUCUCACCUUCCUGGCUUUUAAGGCAAUUUCCUUCUUCAUUCCAACUUCGUGCAAUUUUAGACAUUUUUCUAGCCUCUUUCAGCAUGAAUAAAAUUUCCUUUUAUAGAGCAUAUUCAUACUAUUUGUCCUUCAACCAAUUAAACAAUUAUCCAACUUAUAUUUCUUUUUCACCCCUUCAACAGCUUUAACAUUUAUACCUUUCUCCAUGUUUUAUUAGCAGUUUAGCAUUGCUUUUUCAGGUUUCAGCACUCAGCAUUUCCACGCAUUUUCUGCAAGGAAAUGCAAUUUUUAAAUGGAAAUGCUGAUUAAGCAUUUCCACUUAUUGUUAUUCUCCCGUUUCUUUAAUCUUAUUAUUCUUCCGCCGAUUUUUGCCGCUUUUCAACUCCUUCAAACUUUGUGCUAUUUCAACCAUUCAAACUUUAAAUUGUUCGGCUCCUUCAGGACAUGUGUGCUUGUAUUUUUUACUUUUCUACCCUUUAUACUUUUUGGUUUGUUUUUUUUUAACUUUUUGUGCCAAAAUUUUAACAUUGAAGUCAAUGGGGAAAUCUUCCAAUUCUUCCUUUUAUUCUUCCACCUUCUAAGCCUUAUAACUUCAGCAUACUUUCACCUAGAUACCUCAUUUUUGCUUUAAAAUGUUCAUUGUCUUGUCGACUAAUGAUGUUGUUUUUUGUGCUAUCUUCUACAGUUUUCCCACAAUUUAGCUUUAAGCAACUCAUUGUUUUCAGCAAAUUUCAGGCUUUAUAAUGGGUGUGUAUUGGAGAGGCUAGAGUGAUGAUUUAAAAGCUAGAGUGCAGACCUCCUCUCUGAUCGACAGAACCUCGCUCGAAUAUAUCGCUCCCACGCCCACAAAUUUCACUCCACAGCCAUAAAAAAUACAUCAAAAUGGAGGUAUAUGUGUCCUGCUUCUCACAAAAGAGGUUUCAAAUCAUUAAAUCCUACCCCUUGGCCAGCAGGUGACCAACUGUCCAAAUAGGCGGAAAUCUCUCCCAUUAGCCCUAAUGUAUUUUUUCUCCAAGAAAAUCCUUAUCGCCACUCAGGCUCAGUCUUUUUUAACUCGCUGUUGUGGCCACAUUUUUCGGAGUACAGACAUGAAAAACACAUCAUUGUGUUCAUGAAGGGCGGAGAAUUCGUAUGAUGUUCUUAUUUUCAUUCUGGGAUUUAAGGAAAUCACGCUAUGUGAAGAAGUUCAGAGGCCCUAAAUUCACUGCAGUUCAGCACCUCUCAGUCAAACAAUAGGUCAGUUAAUGCCUUUGAUCUCACAGCUGUUCAGGAUGCAAUCAUUAACGAGACACACACACACAUUUUUGUACUUGUUGCUUUGUGAGGUCUACCUUGCAGUUCAACUGCUUGUACACACAGUUAAUAUGUGUCUGCUUCACCACCUAUCUCCACCCACAAACUUUGAGCUACAGAAACCAUUCUGGGCUUCAAAAAUUCAGCUCAUUGAAGAUAUUAGGGGGUGUUUUGAGGAUUGUGAUAAUAAAUUGUAUUCAUGUGUUCAGCAGUCUUGUGGUUCUCACAAGCUCCUUAUCAUGAAUAUAUACAGAGGAUGAGCGUCAGGGCCUACUUGGAGUCCUGUUUCCUUAGCGUAAAGCCUUCUUUCUCCUGCUAUAGUUAUGCAUCCAAGGUCCCCAUGGCAACCAAUUUGUGCACCUGGAGACACACAGCUGACUGGAAAGCUGCUUCUAAGGGCCAUAUGAGACACAUGAAACCAGGCUUAGUACACAUAGCACUGGGGAUGACACUUAAAACCCUUUCCUAGAGCGCUUGAAAAAACUUCAGCCCCUGUCUCCUCACAUGACCUUUGACCUACAGAAACCAUUCAGGGCUUUAAAAUUUAAGCUCAUUGAGGACAUUAUGGGGUGUAUUCAGGAUUUAUAUUCAUUUAAAUUUUUCACAUUUCUAAGUCACUCAGUGAUGAUUUAUCAUUUAAUUUUUCAAACUAAUUUAAACUCAUUCAAACCUUUCUAAUACUUAAAAACGUUCUAAUACUUGAGGAUUUUUAAUUAUUUAAAUUUUCCAUGUUUUAAAUUAGUUUUAAUAUUUAUGCAUUAUUCCAUCCUUCAAACUAAAUCCUACCUCAAGUAUUUCAACUACUGCUUAUGUCAAUUAAACGAGAACUUUCCCCUCUACUUCAACUGCUAUUGCUCCUAUUUCUACUUUCUCUACUGCUGCUAUUGCUACUAUUUCUACUUUCUUUACUACUUUGACUUACACUUCUUUUAUUCUCAAACUACUUCUACUGCUGACAUGACUACUAGUAUCACGACUUGACUUCUUAUCAUACUACUUCUAGUACUACAACUUAAACUUAUGCCACUUCUCACCUUCCUGCCUUUUAAGGCAAUUUCCUUCUUCAUUCAAACUUUGUGCAAUUUUAGACAUUUUUCUAGCCUCUUUCAGCAUGAAUAAAAUUUCCUUUUAUAGAGCAUAUUCAUACUAUUUGUCCUUCAACCAAUUAAACCAUUAUCCAACUUAUAUUUCUUUUUCACCCCUUCAACAGCUUUAACAUUUAUACCUUUCUCCGUGUUUUAUUAGCAGUUUAGCAUUGUUUUCAGGUUUCAGCACUCAGCAUUUCCACGCAUUUUCUGCAAGGAAAUGCAAUUUUUCAGUGGCUGUGUCCGAAAGGGCAUACUGCCUACUAUCUACUUACCUACUCAAGCAGUAGCUACUGCCUACUGACUACUCAAAGAUGAUUUGAGUAUGCCGCGGCUGCCCGAGCGUUUACAUACAGAUGCAUACUAAAUACCCCAGAAUGCAUUUCGUGCCGGCCGGACGCAUCGCCGGAAAAAUUUAAAUAGUCCUACCACAAGCUACACAGAAUGACUGCAUUCCGGACAAAUUAUAUAAAUUCAUUCAAUAAUAAUAUUUUCUUAGCGAUAAAGUGUUUACAUCACGAUUAUGAGCCCAGUUGUUUGAAAUAGUGGCUGUUUGUAAAUUUGUCUCGGCGUUUUCGGAGACCGAAGCGUCCGCUUGGUGGGUGUUUGCGUCUAUUUUCCGUAAACACCGGGCAGCAGCAGCUCCCCCUUCAUGUUUCCAAAUUAUUGCGAAGUGUUUUCAUAAUCAACAUCUACACGACACAAACCGGGCGGCAGUGGAUGAAAAAAAUCACACAAACAUCUGUGUAUCCAUAGUGAUAAUGCUAUACACCACCUGCUGGCCGUGUGAUGAGCAAAAUGACCAACACACAACAUAAUUAUUAUGACCUUGUUCGGUUAUUCCUUGGCAAAUACAUCAUUUCCCGACUAAAUUAUUUUCAUGUACAAUGAUAAUUUCAGAAACCAUCAGAUUUUCAACCACAAGUAAGAAUUAGUAAAGCUCACAUACAUUGUCAACUGGAAACUCCCCCGUUUGUAUAUUCUGAACCAUGUGCUCUCUACCAAUAAUAAUUUUUAUUAAUCAGAGGUCUGAGCUUAAUAUGAGUGACCACUUUGAUGAUGCAUUCAGAGAUGAGAAGAUGCUCAAACUUGAUGUAAUAAAUACAUCUUUAAUAGACACUUAAAUAAAUAAAGUCAAUUCAUACGAAUAGUUAAAAACAUUACCUAUAAUCCUAAUUUAAAAUACAAAUAAAUCCGGUAAAAAGAUCAAAAUAUGAUAAAAUGAUAAAAUUGUGUAAUGUAUACUGACUAAAUAUUGUUUAUCUAUUUACAUAUAUAUAUAACUAUUAUUGCAAUCACAUGCCAUCUAUUUCUUCUCAGCCUCGGGAAAGAGGGCCAUAUUACCAGCUGAGGUGCGCAAUGCAUUGUGGGGCAGAAGCAGUACGUGAAGCAAGCUCCGUUCCACACUCAGAAAUCGAAGCCGAUUGAGUAUACAUCCGGGCAUUUCUCGCAUACACAAAAUUCGCAUACUGUACGGUGUGAACGCACUGCCUACUCAAUUCAGAGGCGGGGUUAGUAGGAGUAGUAGGAGUAGUAUGCCAUUUCAGACACAGCCAAUGUGUGUGCAUGUGUCUGUGUCUAAAAGACCUGCAUGUACACACAGUUAUUAUGUGUCUGCAUAACCACCUAUCUCCACCCACAAACUUUGAGCUACAGAAACCAUUCUGGGCUUCAAAAAUUCAGCUCAUUGAGGACAUUGUGGGGUGUAUUUAGGAUUUUAUUAAUUAAUUGUAUCAAUAUGUUCAGCAGAGUCGUGGGGUUUUCACAAGCUCCUUAUCAUGAAUAUAUACAGGGGUUGACCAUCAGGGCCUAGCUGGAGAGCCAUUUCCUCAGCUUCAAGCCUCCUCUCUCCUGCUGCAGUGUUACAUCUUCCUUCGCCAUAGCAACCAAUUAGUGCGCCUGGAGACACACAGCUGACUGGAAAGCUG
rnacentral:lncRNA from 1 species